UUAGUUUUCUUUUUUUUUUUUAUUAAGAUUUAUUUAUGCAUACAAGCGCUGGGGUACAGGCCAGGAGUAUGGGGGUGGGGGCGGUGAGAGGACUCACCAGAGACAGAGUGGGGAGCGGAAGAGGCAGAUGUACUGAAAUCCACUGCUGAGGGGAGCAGCGGGGAGACAGGAGAGGUCUGCUGUGCCCUCUGGGUUGCUCCCUGGCCGGGGAUGGAACUCGUGCUGCAGAGGCUGCGGACAGCUUCCUAGUGCUGUGACUUAACCCCUGCGCCGCCAGGGAGGCCCUGGGUUUAGUUUUGUGUUUCUGUGGCGACUGGCGAUGCUGACAGGCUCUUCGGGGGCUGUCGGGGCAUUGGUCCGCGUCCUGUGGAGGAGACUCUAUUCCAGUCCUCGGGUCACUUUUCAAAUUGAUUUGUGUUUUUGUUAGUCGUCAGUGGUCUCGUGUGUCCUGACCCCCAGACUCUAUCUCUGCACACCGAGGCUUCUGGGCUUUUUCUUGGCUGAAACCAUCUUUUGAGUAAUCCCUGCGCAGACUGCGCUGAUGCACUGACAGAUUUUCUGCACCAGUGGCAGCCCUGGGAGAAACCCAGGAUGUUGCCACAAAUUUAAUGCAAAAUUAAGUUUUUCAGGUGUAGAAUGUUAGUAACUGCCACGUAUGUUUAAGCUCAAAUGUGCAGAUUUGCCGAGUAAGCAGCAUGUCAUCUUUGAACGCUUUGGAAAAUGUUUGCUACAAAAUAAGUAGGUCAGAAUAUUUGUGGCAAGGGAUAGUAUGUUUUUGGAUUAUAUGCCUAGACGCUAGAAUGCAGAGGUUUAUCUGUUCAGUUGACUAACAUGAAAACACUGGCAGUAGGAACUGGCUCCCAUUCCUUGAAAGACUUGUUAGGUCGCGCACCACAAAUCAAAAUGAACUGAAAUUAGCAAAGUAAUAGUAACUGGGUAUGGGGGGAGGACCUCCUCCGUGGGUUGACCCCAAGUGCUGUUCAGGGGUCCAUGUCUUUGGGGAAUGUCUCUCCUUCUCCCUCUAUUGCGAUGUUUGGCCUGCAGAGUCCUGUCUCCUGUAAUCUCCCCCCCCAUCCCCCUAAUGGGGGAGCCCCUGAGGGCAAGCAGGCUCACCUUUAUUAUAAGCCUCCCUUUAACACCUGCUCCCGAGGCCACAUGGUAUGCUGUUCUGUGCGCCCCACGGGGUGGCCAGAGCAGGAGCCUCGAAGGUGGUCUCAGGCCUGGAGGACCCUGCUGGUAUCUGCACCUUAACACAAGGCCUGCCCGCCCACCCCAUCUUUCAAGGCCCUCCCUGCACACUUCACCCCUGAUCUGCUCCUCCCCCUCCUCCCCGCUCCCCUCACUGCACCCCCAAGGCCCUCCCUGUUCUGUCCCCAGUGUCACAAACUGAAAGAGCAUCUGAUUCACGGGCCCCACUUCCAAGUGGGGACCUGCCUAUCUUUGGACAUCUUGGCUGGCAUGGCACCACUCCCCGACAGUGCAGACAGCUGGCUGACUUUAUGACUUUGGGGGCCUGGGGGCCUUGGCGGAGAUGAUGGUGGGUACCUGAGGCUGCUGAUACCCAAAACUCAGCCCUGACCCCAAGCACAGCGUCGCCUUCCUCUCUGGGGGCUCUGCCCUGUACCCCCCGCAGCUGUGUCAACCACUGUUUCCUGCCCUCCCCUUUCUUCUGGUGAAGUCCCAGUAGCUCUGUGAGUGCUCCCUCGAGUCCAGAGCUGCACCAUCUCUGAUUCCAGACCCUGCCCGGGUGGGAGCCCCUCACCAAUCUGUUACAGGGCAGGGAGAGGGGCACCCCAGACCCCACAAACCUGCCCGCUCUAAAUAGAUUCUGUCAUCCGCCACAUUAGCAUAAAACAUAUGAGACUUUAAUGGGAAGGAACUUUAAUACAAUUGGAAAACAAUACAGGAAAGACAAAGGAUAUAGUUUCUAAAUCAAGUACCCAAAGUUACCCGUCCCCUCGUGGGUAAAAGUCCACCCAAGCAGGAGUGGCCCACCGGGAGCUGAGACCUUUGUGCAGGGGAGCGGCUCUCUCUGGCAGAAGCUGCACAGCGGCUGGGUGGCUAAUGAACAGUGCCCCUGAUGUUGACAAAGCUCAGGGUGACCAGGAAGCUCGGAUCUAUUUAUUUUUAUACAAGAAGCAGGGUACAGGCCAGAUGGAGACAGAGCGGGGAACAGAACAGGCAGACUGAAGAAAUACACUGCUGAGAGGAGCAGCAGGCGACAGGGAAGGUCUGCUGUGCCAUGUGAGAAUCUCGCCCGCCGGCUGGGAUCGAACCUGCGCUGCAGAGGCUACAAACAGCUUCAUAGUAUGGUGCUCAACCACCCGUGCCACCACGGAGGUCCUAAAAUGUUUUUCUGUAACCACAUGGACUUUAAGACUUUUAAAAAAUUACUCUUCCCCUGCCAAGGAGCAAGGAGGUAAUUUUACCAAUGGAGUUUUCAUCAACUUCUGUUACAGGUCCUGAUAAUGAUAGGGAGUUGUGUAUAUUGUAGAAAAUGUGAAGAGUAGAAUAAAAUAGGAUGAACAGUAUCAACAAGUACUCUUAUGACUUAGCACGUUUCCUUCCUAGUUUUUCCCCCAAUAUUUGCAUUUGUGAAAUUGAAUGCCUGUGUAGAAGGUAGGUAGUAGCUUGAGAAUUAUAAAAUGAGCUUCCAUUAAAUAGGUCAAGAAAUGUAAAAUCACAUCAUAGCAUGACCAUCCUCCAUAAGGAAGCCUUUAUAUGGCUGUCACUAAAUUUUUUUCUUUGCUCUUCACUACAUAUUCUAGGUAUGUAUCACUGCAUGUAUCAUUAAAAUGUGGUUUUAAUUUUGUCGUAUUUAAUAUUUAAAUAAAUUAAAUCAUGUUCUGUUUCUGUCUUGAAUGUCACUCAACAGUAUGAAGGCAAGACUAGUCCACAAUUUGGAUGCAGCUUGAGACUUUUCACUGUUGUAUAAUAUUCCACUCGAUGUACAGUUGUUGUUUACAUUGUGUUCUCAUGCAUAAGGGUUAAGGAGAGUAUGCUUACAUCAUCACUAAAAUUUUAUAUUCUACUUCAUUUAACAUUGCAAUAUAAGUACUUUCCACAUCAUUAAAAACUAUUCAGUGUUACUGUGUCUAGUUUUUACAUUUAAUUUUGUAUAUAUUGGGGGUUUUCAUUUAGAUAGUUUCAAAUCAUUUUACUGUAAAUAAAGUGUUGGUGAACAU